GAUGAACGCUGGCGGCGUGCCUAAUACAUGCAAGUCGAGCGAACGGACGAGAAGCUUGCUUCUCUGAUGUUAGCGGCGGACGGGUGAGUAACACGUGGAUAACCUACCUAUAAGACUGGGAUAACUUCGGGAAACCGGAGCUAAUACCGGAUAAUAUUUUGAACCGCAUGGUUCAAAAGUGAAAGUCGGUCUUGCUGUCACUUAUAGAUGGAUCCGCGCUGCAUUAGCUAGUUGGUAAGGUAACGGCUUACCAAGGCAACGAUGCAUAGCCGACCUGUGAGGGGGAUCGGCCCCACUGGAGCUGAACCACGUUCCGGACUCCUGCGGGAGGCAGCAGUAGGGCAUCUUCCGCAAUAGGCGAAAGCCUGACGUAGCAACGCCGCGUAGGUGAUGAAGGUCUUCGGAUCGGAAAACUCUGUUAUUCGGGAAGAACAUUUGUGUAAGUAUCUGUGCACAUCUUGACGGUACCUUGUCAGAAAGCCACGGCUAACUACGUG
rnacentral:rRNA from 1 species